UGGGGAAUCUUCCGCAAUGGGCGAAAGCCUGACGGAGCAACGCCGCGUGAGUGAAGAAGGCCUUCGGGUCGUAAAGCUCUGUUGUCGGGGACGAAUGUAGCGCUUAUCAACAACGAGUGCUAAUGACGGUACCUGACGAGGAAGCCACGGCUAACUACGUGCCAGCAGCCGCGGUAAUACGUAGGUGGCGAGCGUUGUCCGGAAUUAUUGGGCGUAAAGGGAGCGCAGGCGGGAGGCCAAGUCCAUCCUAAAAGUUCGGGGCUCAACCCCGUGAGGGGAUGGAAACUGGUCUUCUUGAGUGCAGGAGAGGAAAGCGGAAUUCCUAGUGUAGCGGUGAAAUGCGUAGAUAUUAGGAGGAACACCAGUGGCGAAGGCGGCUUUCUGGACUGUAACUGACGCUGAGGCUCGAAAGCCAGGGGAGCGAACGGGAUUAGAUACCCUGGUAGU
rnacentral:rRNA from 1 species